rnacentral:rRNA from 1 species
UACGGAGGGGGCUAGCGUUGUUCGGAAUUACUGGGCGUAAAGCGCACGUAGGCGGCUUUGUAAGUUAGAGGUGAAAGCCCAGGGCUCAACCCCGGAAUUGCCUUUAAGACUGCAUCGCUUGAACAUCGGAGAGGUAAGUGGAAUUCCGAGUGUAGAGGUGAAAUUCGUAGAUAUUCGGAAGAACACCAGUGGCGAAGGCGACUUACUGGACGAUUGUUGACGCUGAGGUGCGAAAGCGUGGGGAGCAAACAGG